UUGCUGACAGUGUUCGUCACACUGUUGUAGCUAGGCUUUUGCGAAAGGGUUGAACUCCACGUACGUCUCACUCGUAUUUCUAUUUCGUACGUUUGAUCCAACAUGUCGUCCGAGCCAAAGAACGACUGGCAACGAUAUGUUACGCCCAAGUUGCCGGAGCUUGUAGAUAAGCUAAAGCCAUCGUCGCUUCUGGAAGAAUUACUUGCUUGUGGCCUUCUAACAGCUGAAGAAUGCAGUUUUCUGAGACAUGGUUGUUCGACGGAGGAGGACCGCUCUCGAACCCUGCUGUAUGACAUUUUGCCGCGCAAGGAAAGCGAUGUUUUCAGUCGCUUUUGUCAGGCUGUUCGAAAUGUGAAAGGGCAGGAGCACAUCGUGACAGAAGUUUUGCAAGUGGAAAUCAUGACGAAGUCUUCUAGUGAAAAAUAGAGAAAACGCCACAACAGAAAGAACUUUUCGCCGUUCAGUUUGGCCCUUCUGCAAUUGGAACAUUGUCCAGCUACAGACUAGACGAAAUGAACAUACAGGCUAUCGUUUCAGACUUGCAGUUACUUGAGAUUGGCAAGGCUGUCAGAAAGAAAUGGUAUGAGAUUGGUAUUCGUCUUGGAGUAAAGGACGGAGAUUUGUCUGAUUGUGAAGACCGUUAUUUGAAUAAUGCUGAUCGUAUUAGAAGUGUCUUCUCACUCUGGAAGCAGCGAGUGAGCAAACCAACAAUUGCAAUACUCUUGGAAGCAUGCAAAAAAGCAGGUGUUGGAGGAGAAGCAACGAGAGCAUUGGAAGAUUCAAAAGCACAAUGAUCAAAUUUAGAGUUAAUCCAGAAUUAAUUAAUCUUAAUUAGUUUACGUACAGUCAAUAUGUAGAUAUUUGGCUGCACUCGAUCGGAUUUUUGUGCGUUUCUUUGUUUGUCUAUCCAUCUAUCUGUUUUUCACAUAUAUUUCAGACAUGAAAUAGGAUACAAAAGCAAC